ACACCGAUGGUGAAGUGGUUAUCAUGCUUGCCUUCCAUACUGGUGCCAGCAAGCGGCACGGGUUCGAUUCCCGUUCGGUGUA